AUUGAACGCUGGCGGCAUGCCUUACACAUGCAAGUCGAACGGUAACAGGUUAAGCUGACGAGUGGCGAACGGGUGAGUAAUGUAUCGGAACGUGCCCAGUCGUGGGGGAUAACUGCUCGAAAGAGCAGCUAAUACCGCAUACGACCUGAGGGUGAAAGCGGGGGAUCGCAAGACCUCGCGCGAUUGGAGCUGUCGUUAUCAGAUUAGGUAGUUGGUGAGGUAAAGGCUCACCAAGCCGACGAUCUGUAGCUGAUCUGAGAGGACGACCAGCCACACUGGGACUGAGACACGGCCCAGACUCCUACGGGAGGCAGCAGUGGGGAAUUUUGGACAAUGGGCGCAAGCCUGAUCCAGCCAUGCCGCGUGCGGGAAGAAGGCCUUCGGGUUGUAAACCGCUUUUGUCAGGGAAGAAAAGGUUCUGGCUAAUACCUGGGACUCAUGACGGUACCUGAAGAAUAAGCACCGGCUAACUACGUG
rnacentral:rRNA from 1 species